UACUGAAAUGUAUAUUAAAAAAUAGACGCUGAUACUUAGAAGUGUUUACUGAUUAUUCUUAAGUAUUUUCUUAUUUACUCGGAAUUUGAUUAAAAGGAAAACAUACAAGAAACGCACGUCAACACUUUUUUAAAUCAGUUUACACUUGAGAUGUAUACAAUCCUCAAAAUAUUUACUUUUCUACAUUUAUUUAUCGACAACCAGCAUGUCGUUCGUUUCGUCCGAAAGUGAAGAUAGUGGCAAUGAGAGUGUUUCAAAAAGUAAAGAGUCGGAUGUAACAUUUGUGGCCAAAUAUUUGAGGGAUAACCCUAUUAUUUUAAAUAAAGGGAAAACUCCGGAGAUAAAUUAAUAAAAAACAAGACGUCUUAGCCACUCUUAAACAACAUUAUGAGAGUAAGUUAUCAUGUCUUAUUAUAAAAUGUUGUAAGCUAACUAUGAAAGCAUUGUAGAUAAAUUUGGAAAACCAACAAACUCCAAAAAAUUAUUAAAAAAAAUAAUAUCCUGAAGGCGGUAGUAAAAAAACUCAUGCCAACAUAACUGGGAAUAAAAAGAAAAAUCUAAGUGCAGCAAACUCAUGUACACGGCACUACAAGGGGAUCAAGAGGAGUGCAAUCCUGUUCUUUUCAAAAUACCUGAUAAAAUAAUUAUAUUUUUAUUACAUAUAAGGUAGCUAGUGUAAUAUUUCGUUUCAGGACAUGUUGCAGUCGGAAUCCUUCUGAUGAACAGUUCAUGGUUCUAUAAUUUUUGUCCGUCAGUCGCUUCAACACUGCCACCAUCGUUACCUGCACGUCCAAAGCGACAAAAAUUAUAGAACAAUACGAAACGGAGGAAACACGUACGUUAAGCACGACGGAGCUACAAAGAUUGGUGCUUUUGAAGUAACUACAUGUUCUAAAUCUUAAAAAGGCAAAACUGGAGAAAGAAUUAAAUAAAGAUCACGUUCUAAGAGAAGGAGAGAAAACUUAUAGUAUGUUGUAAUAAUUAGAUAUAUGUAUUUUCAAUUUAAUAAAAAUUAUGUUAGUUAUUUUGAUUGGCGUAAAUAAUUGUGGCUAAACGGUUACGUAUGACUUGACCUUCCCUUCGAAGUUCAAGUCGUCCAACAGGUGCUUCAUCUUCGAUGUUGUCAUCGUCUAAAGGUAAGCCUUCUUCAAUCUCAAACACUUCUUCAUCUUUUAAAUACUUUCCAAUAUUAUGAAGAACACAACAUGCUAUCAUAAUAGAUGGCACUUUUCUUAAUGGCAGUCUAAUUGUAUUUUGUAAUAAAGGGAAUCGUUGCUUUAAAUGUCCGAAGACGACAAAGUUUCGAUAGUUACAGUAUUAACUUACGAAACCGUAAGUAUUAAGUAUCUACUGAUUUUUAUUAAUACCACUAAAUGAGUGGUAUGAAUAAAAAUGAAGUACAUGCUAAUACUAAAAAUUUAAGGAUCUACUUAGAAGUAUUUUCUUCAUCAUGAAGCAUUUGGUCGGUUCAGGUAGAACUUGCUUGACGUCGGAGUAUUUACUACACUGAUUAAAUUAUUUACUUUUAGUCUACAGUAUAUUCUUCAACAUUUUUGUAGCAUCUUCUCGGCCUAUCUGCUUUGUUUAUUUUUCAAAUCGGUAAUAUUCGUAGAAAGGUUUAAACAGCUAUGCACGUAAAGUUUAGGUUAAUGUUUACAUUUGUGAUAAGGAAUCCCAAAAUAACUCGUUUAAAAUGUAAAAUUCCCCCUUCCGGACACUGCACACUCAAUGUACGUACUGUCUUGAUCAUUUGGUUUUACCAUUGCCUUCAGUAAAAUUGUUGAAGUAGAAGUGGUGUAUUAUCCGACGUUCGGUUAGACAAAAAUGUCUUCAGAUGAAGAAAUGCCUCAAGAAGAAGAGUCCCAAAUGGAAGAUUAUAACAAUAAUACAAAAGUUGGACAGUAAGCAAAUACUAAAAAAAAUAAUAACAUGAAAAGCAAAAUAAAGAAAAUAACGGAUAUGAAAAGAACAGGAACUAAGAAGAUUAAAUUAAAUGAAUGGCAACAAAAAUUUUAUGACCUAUGCAACGGAAAUGAGAAUCCACUAAUACAAAGAGUCCCAGGUAUACACGCUUUUUUAUUUAAAUUAAUUCCAUAAAAAUACUAAAUUUGCCCACCCUGUACGCGUAGUAAUAAUCACUUUAAAUUACUCAUAUCUUUAGGUGGGGUAAAUGCAGGCACCAGUCGAGAUGCAAAUGCCGAUCGAUUUUUUGAGGAAGAGGAUUUUAGUGACGCCAACCAAUCGAUUGAACAAUAAUUGCAAAAAACUUUAGUUCUGAAACAAAUAAAUGAGGCUAUAGCUCAAGAAAAGGCUGCUAUAGCUCAGGACAAAGCUGCCACAUCUGUGGAAAAAACUGCAGGGGCUUUAGAACCAUUUAUAGUAAAUUACUUUGCACGACACUUUGAUGGUUGAAAAAAAUGGGAAAUUGGUGUAUCUAUUAUUCUCAUUAAACUUUUAGUUGGUUUUCAUAAAAAAAUGUUUGGGGUUUGCGUUUCUAUUCCAAUUACUUUUAAUUUUAAUUAUAUUAUAAGUUUUCCUGGAAAAUAAAAAACAAAAAAUAUUAGAUUAUUUCUUUAUUAUUUCAACGUUGUCUAUACAGGGUUAUCAUUUUAGUUUGGCCCACUUUUAAAAGCUUAUAACUUUUUUAUUCUUUUAAUUAAUUGUUUUUGCAUGCUUUUGUCAAUCUUCAAUGAAAUUAAGAAGAAGAAUGCAAAUAUGUGAUACAUUUCUGAAUUCGGAGAAAAGAGGACUAUCUAAUGCGCUACUAAUAUACAGGGUGUCCCAUUUAAAAAGUUUUUUUUAGUUUUAAAAAUCUGACAUGUAACACCUACUGUCAUUUUUGACAACACUCGCAAAAACUUGUCUGAAACUUCUACAAUAUGUUUUUUGAAUGAAUGCUUUAACACAACAAACAAAAAAGUUAUAAGCUUUUAAAAGUGGGUCAAACUAAAAUGAUAACCCUGUACAUCAAUUCCGCAAUCUCAUUACGAACCUGAAUACCUCGACGUCUUAUAUCAGCGUUAUUUAGUUCAGUUCUUCGACAUCCAUUUCUUCAAACUGUUCAAGUGGAUCAUUCAACGACUUUUACGCACAAUUACGUAAAAUAAAUCCACACAUAAUAUAUCGACAUAUUCUGUUAGUUUUAAGUCGUACUGUAUAGUUUAACAUUGGGAAUCUUCUUUUCAACUGCCCAAAGCAUCUUUCUAUAAUAACACGUUCUUUUGCAUGUAUUUUAUUGAAAUAUUUUUCACUAUUUGUUGUCGGAUUUUGGAACGGUGUGAGCAUCCACGGAGUUACAGCAUAUCCGGAACCACACAAAAGACAUACCCUUUCUGGAUUGUUAUACAUAACAGGAUAAGUGGAAGAAUUGUACCAAAUUCUAGAACUAUGGACAGAUCCAGGCCAUGUUGCAUAUAAGUUGGUAAACAUUUCUCUACUGUCACAUGUGGCUUGUAUAUUUAUUGAGGAGUUUCGUUUACUUCUGUCAGAAAUGUAGUAGCCAGUUUAUACUAGUCGCCAAACAAUGGCCCGGAUGGACGAUAGGAAAAUCGAACAAUUGAUAUUAUUAGUUAGGGAAUAUGAUGAAUUAUUUGAUUAAUUGGAGAAAAUGGUAAGUUAGUUUUAAUAAUAUAGGUAACUAAACUGAAUUUUGUGUUGCAAUUAAAGUCACAUGAAAAUCGUUUUUUAGGAAUUGUAACUAAAUAUCGUGCUAAGAGGUAAAGGUAUAGAAAUAAGCUCGGAAAUAAGAAAUUAUAACCACAGCAAGUUUUUGCUUUAUUAAACAGUCAAUAUUUACAAAACUAGAACAAUACUGUAAGCCGUUUUCAAAAAGAAAAAAAGUAGAUUAAAAAAUAGAAACCAGAAAGCCGACUACAAAGAAGAAAAGAAAUAUAAAGUAAAUCGAUAAAUUACCGUUAAACGUAUAAGAAGUUUGUCAAUAUAUUUUUUUGCGCGUUAUAACUGCGCGUCACUUGUUCAAGUCAAACACCUUAAAUUUUGGAUCAUUUUUAAAAGUUCGUUUCUCAAUAACAAGAGGGCCGAUUUUGCUGAAAUUUGGAUAGGAUUUAAACCUAUCCUCUGGUAUCCUAAUUUUUAAUUGAUGACAAAAUUUAACAUACCUGCUUUAAGAUACAGGGUGAAACACAAACUGCUGUAAUUUUACGAAAACUUUAAGUGAUCCCCAUUUUGCUAUUUUGGUGUCGAAUAACAGAUUUUAAUUAAAUAGGUAUUUCUUUUUAGCCGACACUUGCUAAAAAAAUGGAAAAGCUUAUGGUAUGGCUUUCAACGAGCAAACAAAAACGUAACCAAGAGUAGUCAAGCUGCGAAAAAUAUUAAAAAAUGGGAAACGAUGUCAUUUCUUCAGCCAUAUAUAAAAGGCAGACAACACCAUACAAACAUCGUCGAAGAGCAGGUCACAGAACAAACUGAUGUUGUUACGAGUCAAAAAUUUUAUAAGAAAAUUCAGUAGGCAGUCAUUUUCUACAGUUCCUUAAGAGCAUGAGAUACUCAGCUUGUUUAUGAGCAUACUCACUUGUUUAUCAUUUGGUUCUAUUCAUUAUAUGUAUUUAUAUUUUCAAUAGGGUUUCUUUGAUAUAUUUUGUACUUCUAGCUGUUAAAAAGAAAUAAAAUAUGAGUUACUUUCUAUAAAUUUAAUUAUUGUUAUUAUGAAAUAAAUUUUUAUUUGAAAA